CCUACGGGAGGCUGCAGUGGGGAAUAUUGCACAAUGGGCGAAAGCCUGAUGCAGCAACGCCGCGUGAAGGAAGAAGGGUUUCGGCUCGUAAACUUCUAUCAACAGGGACGAAAGAAAUGACGCUACCUGAAUAUGAAGCCCCGGCUAACUACGUGCCAGCAGCCGCGGGAAUACGUAGGGGGCAAGCGUUAUCCGGAAUUACUGGGUGUAAAGGGUGAGUAGGCGGCAUGGUAAGCCAGAUGUGAAUGCCUUGGGCUUAACCCGAGGAUUGCAUUUGGAACUAUCAAGCUAGAGUACAGGAGAGGAAAGCGGAAUUCCUAGUGUAGCGGUGAAAUGCGUAGAUAUUAGGAAGAACACCAGGGGCGAAGGCGGCUUUAUGAACUGAAACUGACGCUGAGGCACGAAAGCGUGGGGAGCGAACAGGAUUAGAUACCCCAGUAGUC
rnacentral:rRNA from 1 species